AUCAUCUUAUUUAAUAAAUGUUUUCUUACGAGGCUAUUUAUUGGGGAAGAUGUAGAUAAUCUACUAUUUGUUGGUUUCAGGUUGGUGAAACUAAGUUGAUAGGACGAAAUGUUGUUCACCAACCCAUGAAGAAGGUGAAUAUUAUUAAUGAAAUGUAAAAGACAUCAGAAAGUUGUCGAGAAUCCUAUAUAUAUGUUAUUAAAAUGAAUUUUGAAUUGGCGGUGGAUAAUUGGGUUAACUUGAAGGUUUCACCCGUGAAGGGUAUUAUGGGAUUUAUCAAGAAGGGAAAGCAAAGUGUUCGGUGUAUCGGUCUUUACAAGAUAUCAUAGAGAGUUUUAAAUGUAGCUUGUGAGUUUGAGCUACCGUCCGAGUUAGCAGCGGUACAUCCAGUGUUCAACAUUUCAAUGUUAAAGAAGUGUAUGGGCGAUCCUUCACUGAUUAUACCUGCUAAGAAUAUCCGUAUUAAGUACAACCUUUCUUGUGAGGAGGUACCCGUUCUAAUUCUUGAUUGUCAUUUUCAUAAAUUGAGGAACAAAGAUGGUGCAUUAAUCAAAGUUUUAUGGAGAAAUCAAUUUGUUGAGGAAUGUAUUUGGUGGGUGAUGAAGAUAUGAAUAGGAGAUACCCACAUCUCUUUGCAUCAUGAGACAUUCAAAACUGAGAAAUGGGAUAGUUUGAUAUUUUCCACACAUUUUCUACUUAGUAUGAUCUCAUUCAAGGACAAAUUUUCUCAAGGGGAGAUGUUGUAAUAUCUUAGACUUCGGUAUGUUUUUAGUUUUGGGUCAACUUGAAAUGAACAUAACGUUCAACAUACGAAAAUUUGGGUGGCACAUUAGGUAUCAAAUAAAAUGUCUUUGAGUCA